rnacentral:rRNA from 1 species
GUGGGGAAUCUUCCGCAAUGGACGAAAGUCUGACGGAGCAACGCCGCGUGAGUGAUGAAGGUCUUCGGAUUGUAAAGCUCUGUUAAUCGGGACGAAAGAGCCUAGUGUGAAUAAUGCUAGGAAGUGACGGUACCGGAAUAGAAAGCCACGGCUAACUACGUGCCAGCAGCCGCGGUAAUACGUAGGUGGCAAGCGUUGUCCGGAAUUAUUGGGCGUAAAGCGCGCGCAGGCGGAUCUGCCAGUCUGUCUUAAAAGUUCGGGGCUUAAACCCGUGAUGGGAUGGAAACUACAGAUCUAGAGUAUCGGAGAGGAAAGUGGAAUUCCUAGUGUAGCGGUGAAAUGCGUAGAUAUUAGGAAGAACACCAGUGGCGAAGGUGACUUUCUGGACGAAAACUGACGCUGAGGCGCGAAAGCCAGGGGAGCGAACGGGAUUAGAAACCCCUGUAGUCC